GACGAACGCUGGCGGCGUGCCUAAUACAUGCAAGUAGAACGCUGAAGCUUGGUGCUUGCACCGAGCGGAUGAGUUGCGAACGGGUGAGUAACGCGUAGGUAACCUGCCUGGUAGCGGGGGAUAACUAUUGGAAACGAUAGCUAAUACCGCAUAACAGUAGAUGUUGCAUGACAUUUGCUUAAAAGGUGCAAUUGCAUCACUACCAGAUGGACCUGCGUUGUAUUAGCUAGUUGGUGGGGUAACGGCUCACCAAGGCGACGAUACAUAGCCGACCUGAGAGGGUGAUCGGCCACACUGGGACUGAGACACGGCCCAGACUCCUACGGGAGGCAGCAGUAGGGAAUCUUCGGCAAUGGACGGAAGUCUGACCGAGCAACGCCGCGUGAGUGAAGAAGGUUUUCGGAUCGUAAAGCUCUGUUGUAAGAGAAGAACGAGUGUGAGAGUGGAAAGUUCACACUGUGACGGUAUCUUACCAGAAAGGGACGGCUAACUACGUGCCAGCAGCCGCGGUAAUACGUAGGUCCCGAGCGUUGUCCGGAUUUAUUGGGCGUAAAGCGAGCGCAGGCGGUUAGAUAAGUCUGAAGUUAAAGGCUGUGGCUUAACCAUAGUACGCUUUGGAAACUGUUUAACUUGAGUGCAAGAGGGGAGAGUGGAAUUCCAUGUGUAGCGGUGAAAUGCGUAGAUAUAUGGAGGAACACCGGUGGCGAAAGCGGCUCUCUGGCUUGUAACUGACGCUGAGGCUCGAAAGCGUGGGGAGCAAACAGG
rnacentral:rRNA from 1 species